UACGUAGGGGGCAAGCGUUAUCCGGAAUUACUGGGCGUAAAGCGCACGCAGGCGGUCUUUUAAGUUUGACGUGAAAGCUCCCGGCUUAACUGGGAGAGGUCGUUGAAUACUGGAAGACUUGAGGCAAUGAGAGGGGUGUAGAAUUCCCGGUGUAGUGGUGGAAUGCGUAGAUAUCGGGGGGAAUACCAGUGGCGAAAGCGGCACCCUAGCGUUAGCCUGACGCUCAUGUGCGAAAGCGUGGGGAGCGAACGGG
rnacentral:rRNA from 1 species